UACGUAGGUGGCAAGCGUUAUCCGGAAUUAUUGGGCGUAAAGAGCGCGCAGGUGGUUGAUUAAGUCUGAUGUGAAAGCCCACGGCUUAACCGUGGAGGGUCAUUGGAAACUGGUCGACUUGAGUGCAGAAGAGGGAAGUGGAAUUCCAUGUGUAGCGGUGAAAUGCGUAGAGAUAUGGAGGAACACCAGUGGCGAAGGCGGCUUCCUGGUCUGUAACUGACACUGAGGCGCGAAAGCGUGGGGAGCGAACAGGAUUAGAUACCCGU
rnacentral:rRNA from 1 species